UUUUCUUUGACCUGCAGAAUGCAGCAUAAAUGACAAUGUGCCACCUCUGGGCAUCUUGGAACCCUGCCGUCCCCAUGUAAACAAGCCUGGGCCAGCCUUCAGGAUGAUGAGAGACAUGUGGUCUAGUCACAUGUCCUAGCUGGCAGCCAGUCAACAGUCAGAUAUGGGAAUGAGACCACCCCGGACUAGCCAGCUUUGAGCCAAGCCAACACCUGAUCCUCAAUGUGCAAGACCAGCUGAGACACUUUUUCUGCAGUGUCAACAUCAUCUUCAUCAUUACUAUUACUACAAUCACCUUGAUUCAGAACCCAUCAGUCAAUGAAUGAACAACUGGAGCCUCACUAUUGGUGUGAAUAAUUUCUUUGAUAUCCACUUCUUCCAGCUUGCUGAUAGACUCUGAAGAUGGCAGUUGCAGCCAUCUUGUGACUAGAAGAAGAGGAAGCUCCAUACUCAGGGGCUCCAGAACACUAGAGUCACAGUCCUGAGACACAUACCUGGAGGCUGCCCUGCGUGUGGACUUCGUCUCCCUCUCAUGCCUAGCCGAAGCUGGACUGUACUGCUGCCAUCUCGGCUCACUGCAACCUCCCUGCCUGAUUCUCCUGCCUCAGCCCGCCGCGUGCCUGCGAUUGCAGCCGCGCACCGCCACGCCUGACUGGUUUUCGUACUUUUUUGGUGGAGAUGGGGUUUCGCUGUGUUGGCCGGGCUGGUC
rnacentral:lncRNA from 1 species